AUGCCCACCCCUCUCAAUGACCCCACUGGACAGAGGGGCUGCUUGGGACAGAGGGGCAGCUUCUCGGGACAGAGGGACAGCUGCUCGGGACAGAGGGACAGCUGCUCGGGACAGAGGGACAGCUGCUCGGGACAGAUGGACAGCUGCUCGGGACAGAGGGACAGCUGCUCGGGACAGAGGGGCAGCUGCUCCGGGCGGAGGGGCUCUAGCGGCCCCUGGCUGACUGGCGGCACUGGCGGCCCCUGGCUGACUGGCGGCCCCUGGCUGACUGGCGGCACUGGCGGCCCCUGGUUGACUGGCGGCGCUGGCGCUGGGCUGACUGGCGGCACUGGCGGCCCCUGGUUGACUGGCGGCACUGGCGGCCCCUGGCUGACUGGCGGCACUGGCGGCCCCUGGCUGACUGGCGGCACUGGCGGCCCCUGGCUGACGGGCGGCACUGGCGGCCCCUGGCUGACGGGCGGCACUGGCGGCUCCUGGCUGACGGGCGGCAUUGGCGGCGCUGGGCAGACGGGCGGCACUGGCGGCGCUGGGCAGACGGGCGGCACUGGCGGCGCUGGGCAGACGGGCGGCACUGGCGGCGCUGGGCAGACGGGCGGCACUGGCGGCGCUGGGCAGACGGGCGGCACUGGCGGCGCUGGGCAGACGGGCGGCGCUGGCGGCGCUGGGCAGACGGGCGGCGCUGGCGGCGCUGGGCAGACGGGCGGCACUGGGCAGACGGGAAGCUCCGAUGGCGCCGGACAGGCGGGAGGCUCCGGCAGAGGCGCCGGACAGGCGGGAGGCUCCGGCAGAGGCGCCGGACAGGCGGGAGGCUCCGGCAGAGGCGCCGGACAGGCGGGAGGCUCCGGCAGAGGCGCCGGACAGGCGGGAGGCUCCGGCAGAAGCGCCGGACAGGCGGGAGGCUCCGGCAGAGGCGCCGGACAGGCGGGAGGCUCCGGCAGAGGCGCCGGACAGGCGGGAGGCUCCGGCAGAGGCGCCGGACAGGCGGGAGGCUCCGGCAGAGGCGCCGGACAGGCGGGAGGCUCCGGCAGCGGCGCCGGACAGGCGGGAGGCUCCGGCAGAGGCGCCGGACAGGCGGGAUACUCCGGCAGCGCUGGAGAGGAGGAAGGCUCUGGACGGAUGGGCCGGAGAGACAGCCUGGUACGGGGAGCUGCCACCGGAGGGCUGGGGUGUGGAGGUGGUGACGGAUAG
rnacentral:lncRNA from 1 species